rnacentral:rRNA from 1 species
UAAUACGAAGGGGGCUAGCGUUGCUCGGAAUUACUGGGCGUAAAGCGCACGUAGGCGGCUCUUUAAGUCGGGGGUGAAAUCCUGGAGCUCAACUCCAGAACUGCCUUCGAUACUGAAGAGCUCGAGUCCGGGAGAGGUGAGUGGAACUGCGAGUGUAGAGGUGAAAUUCGUAGAUAUUCGCAAGAACACCAGUGGCGAAGGCGGCUCACUGGCCCGGUACUGACGCUGAGGUGCGAAAGCGUGGGGAGCAAACAGG